GCCAUAGUCUGAUCGAGAAUUGUCCCUUGAGUUAGAAGAUGGAGGAGGGACCUGAAAAAAGUGGUCUCUCGACAGCAAGGGCGGGGGAGGGCCUCGUCGCCCUCUCCUCGGUGUCUCCAGCGCCUAGUGAGUGGUCUUUUGAAUGACUGAAGGGUUGGUGAGGCAAGGUUUAUUGGGGGACACUUGUCCAUCUCUUCUUGAUCGCUGGACGAGGCUUGACCUGGGCUGAAAGAAAUGCAGUAAGGAGGCACUUUCUCAGCUUCCUGGGAACUGGGACCCUGGAACCCAGUAAAGACUGUUAUUCCAGACUUAGGAAUGGCCUGAGCAUAAGCCUGAAGGCGUGGAGCUGGUCUCGAGGCUUACCCUUCCGCUUCACCAAAAACACCUUCUCCAAGAGCCAGAGUGAUCAUUUGAAAAGAUCUGAACUUCAGAGGGUCAUUCUGGCCUUGAAAAGAAACCAAGAUAAAAGGAAACAGCUCUCAGGAAUUAUAAAUCAAAUAGAACCUGAGACUCAUUGCCCCGUUUUUCAUCCCUUUAGUCAUCCAGACUUGAACUGAGGGGCAUUGCUGGCUUGAAAAUGAUCCAAGAACAAAAGAAACACCUCUCAAAGGUCAUCCACCAAACAAACAAAAACUGAGAAACACUCUCUGUUGUUUUCUCCUCAGGAGUGAAUCUGGGCUCUAACUUCGGAUUUUCACUAAAGCUAUUACCUAGGGAGCUACUGAAGAAGGUACAGACAAUUGGAAUCAAGAAAUUUGAGUCGGGCUUCCCUGGUGGCGCAGUGGUUGAGAGUCCGCCUGCCGAUGCAGGGGACGCGGGUUCGUGCCCUGGUCUGGGAAGAUCCCACAUGCCGUGGAGUG